UUGUUUAAAAACAGAAAAUACCUAGUGAACUGAAGUGAACCAUUAAAAGAACUCCGACCUGGUGAGUUUAUCGGCCGAUACCACCCCUGUUGCCACCUUCACAUUAGAAGGAGAAACUGCAAGAUGACACCAAAACAACACGAACCCCCC